GAAAUUAUUAUCAACAAUAAUACAUUCUUGUAAGUGUUUGCCAACCCCACGUCUUAGCCAGUGCAUUUUACUUGGAGCUUACAACAUAAAUCUCUUUAUUUUUCAAAAUGCCUGCUGUAACAGCCCUCUUUCCUCCGGUAUUUGCUGAGCACGGGAGAGUCACUGUCUAUCCUGUCCCCAGCCUGGCUGAGCCAGGAAGGUUAUUAACCCUUUAGCAUGAUCUCCAGGGUGAAGGUCAGUGGCAGCCUGCUCAGCAUCUACAGAGUCAGAGUGUGCUCUCCCAGAUAAAUAACGAAUAAAGCUCUAGACAGCUUCAUCGGGAGGACAUGCCACCCAUUUGAUAUAUAAGAGACGACAGACAACCCCAUCAGACUUCGCGAUGAAACUCACAAAGAGCUGAAGUUGCAGGGAUGCAAAGGCUUACCAGGCUGCUCCGAUGACUGAAAAUUUAGUCACCAAGUUCCACUACCGAAUGGGGGUCACUGCUGCUAAAAGCAAAUUCAUAAAUGCACAGUGGAACUCAGCACUUUCCUUGCAAGCCAGAGCCGGGAUCCUGGCGGUGGCUGUAUUAGCUGGCGCUGGGAAACUAUUUUUAGACCUUCAGCUAUUUAGGUAAUUGAAGCUUUUCCCACUUUCAGCUAACGCACUCUCUGUUGUGUAACUCUGCUGGUGACCAGCUUGGUGCAAGGGACAGAGCCACAGGAGGCCCUGCAGCGCGCGUGGAGAGAGAGAGAAAGAGCUGCUCUCAAGUUUGGGGAUUUAGUGGCCGUCAAAACAAAGAAUUAUAGUAAAUGCAUGUGGAGGUGGAGGAUUUGUCAAGUAAGUCUGAAAGAGCUGGAACACUGGAUGAUGUUUACUUACACGGCUGAAAAUGCGUUAGUGUUAUUAAUUUUCUUCAUAGUGCUACCAGCACACUCAGUGCUGCUAACCCAGGAGUACAUGAGCAUCUGGAGAGGACCACUUCGGUCUCUGAGGGUGAAUGGCAUCAUUUCAGCAAGCCGUCACCUCUGAGAAAAGGCCAGGUCGAAAACAGGAGCUGGAUUCUCACCAGGUCCAACGUUUCCCUACUGCUUUAACCUUGCUGGCCUUCAAAUCUCCAGUUUGAAUGCUAGGCACGUGUAGGAGACGUCAGGUAGGCCUGAAGUGCUUCGCGCCUAAACCCAGAAUCCAGCCCUCCUCUCUACAACUGGCCCCAGGAGCGUAAUCCAGCAGGCACCUAACAAUAUAAGGCUGCUUAGAAAAUGUGAGAUCUUUAAGGGUUUUUGCUAAGUGCAUUAAGUACCAUGGACAUGCUACGCACACGUUCCGUUCUGUCAUCGGCAUAGCCGUUAACCCCCAUAGUGUCCCUUCACACAUCUUCAUGCACAGUCUCACCAAACUCUGAUCUCUCUUUCUCACAAACAUAAAACAUUUGAGCAGAGCAGAACGUUGAGUCAUAAAGGUUGCUUCAGAAAAUUGAAAUGGUUUAGCAACCUCAGUAGCGUAGUUAGUUUUUCUCUUGAAAGCUUAAAUAACUCACUUGAAAUAAAGGAAAGUACAUUGGUUGACAUAAUACUUCCUCUAGCAGCUUAUAUCCAAACCAGUAAUUUUUCUGUGUGGUAUUUGGGGUUGUGGAAUGUGUGGAAGACAAAGCUCACGUUUCUUAUAAUUUCUCUGUGGUUAUUAAUGAAAAUGAUAAUUAAAAUUACAUAGCGUAUUCACCUAUCUUAUCCCCAAAAAUAACUUGGCCAAAAAUUUACUAAAUCAGUAUCCAAAGGCUUUAGUAUUCCAGAGAGACAUGGAUAGCAAUUUAAUAAUUGAAGGAGAAAUAACAUUUUUUUUCAGUGAUUUGAGAGGCGGUUUUAAUUAGAUGCAUUCUUAAUGGAGUUUUCAGUAUGUUCCAGGCAAAAAGGUUCUCUUACAAUAUUUGGUUUACACCAUCUAGCUCUCCAGCUUCAAAGUAAAAGCCAAAAAAUACGAACUAAAAUAUGUAACUUGUUCCCUGCAAAACAAAUUCAAGCCUGUCAUGGUGCUGGCCUGUACAAAUCUGUCUUCACUUAAAAAGAAGUAGAAUAUGGCUUUCAAAAAAAACUUUGCCCAAAGAAUUAAUCACAAAUACAAUUCUUGAUGUAAGGGAUAGAGGGGUUUUCAAACGUUUUUAAGUCCCCAGAGCAGAAAACUAGAUGCUUAUCCUUCCUUUUGCUCCAAAUCAGGCUCUCACUCCCUCUGAAACUUUAAUUACAGUACUGGUGUGGUAAGUCAGGGAGUGACAUUUCAGCUCUGCUGGACACAAAUCCAGAAAUGAUGGUGUUAAUAGUGGUAAGUUUAGCUAGUGCUGAGUUUUAGGAUCCCUCCUAUACUCUGUAAGUGCGCAAAUAUGACUUACCAGAUGGUCUAUAUGUACGUAAUAAGUGUGAAUUCAGGUGCACGAGAUCCUACCUGUAGCAAGGAAACCAUUCCUCUGUAGUAUAAACUCACAGUUACUAUAAGGCUUGCCCAGGAAAUUAAUUUUUGUCUGUAGAGAGGAGUACAGUUGUAAUGCUGGAUUCAAAAACUGAUCAUUUUUUAAAUGAGGACAUAUAAGAAUCUGGGUACAGUAAGAUGUUUUUCCUGAUCUCUAUUGUUUCUUUUACUUCAGUAAUAUCCUUCUGAGAAGCACGUCCUUCUAUUUGGGAAAAAAGCGUAGAAUGCCUACCCAAAUUCUAUGUUUUUCGGAAAAAGAAACAGCCAGACCUCUCUAGCAUAGCCCUGGAUGGACAGAAAUGCCUUAGCAGACCGUGUGGUUUUAGCUGUGAGGUUUAGAGCACAGAUUUUGUCAUUCAGUGCUUUCCACUUCUAUACAUCUUGGGAAGAAAGUGGAAAGGAGCAAUACUGCGUCCUACAGAAGAUGACUUGAAGAAAUGUAAAUCAUGAGACAACUCUCUUGCAAGAUCAUUUGUUAUACUAGUAGUGCCAAAAUAUUGUUACUGUCUAAAGAACUUCUGAAUAAAGAAAGUCUUGUAGAAGAUCUCCUUUAAAAAGUACAAAUGAAACUGCAAAUUAUGUAGAUUCAUGACACCUUGUAAACUGGUGUGUUUCUGAGCUGAAACAAUGAAAAUACAAAAAUACUCCGUAAAACUGGCAAAUUAUCACUUUGCUAUUUUAGAAGAAAACAUGCAGAUCCUUAGAUAUAAUUAUUUUAAUUCAAUAUUUGCCUUCAUUGGAAAACAAUAACAAAGAUCAAACUUUAACACAAAAUUUUUGGGUUUUGACUCAGUACCGAAACGCAAGAACUCUCUCAGCGCAAUCUGGCUUUUCUCUUUUUUCUCUUUUUUUAGGGGCUUCAGUGCAGUUCACAGUAGAUGAGCAUCCCUUUUCUGCAAAGCCACCCUGCAGGCACUCGGAGCUUGCCCUGCAGGCAGUGAGCGGGGAAGGACUGUUAGAUCUGCCACAGCUUUAGGGCAGGAAACCUCCGUUGUGCUGCCCCAGCUGCGGAGUGAUGCCCCCGUGGGCUUUAUGACGGGUGGGCUGGUGAGGGCUAACAGAGCUGCGGCCGGAUCCCUUCCUCUAUUGCUUUUUCAUGGGAAAAAGGUAGUUUGUUUCUACUGCACAGGCUUGCCUUCUGGCCCUCCCCCUGUGCCAACACAUCGCACGUGGGCUGUCACAAGGCUCCGGGAAGGAGGGGAGAGCAAGAGGGCAACUUCUUGUUAGAGCACCCUGAGGCAACACUUGUGCAACUGUUGCCUCGCUCGUAUUUUCCAUGAGCUACCAAGACAUGUCUGUUGCCUUUGUUGUUUGUUUUGGGUUUUAUUUUUUUCUUUUUUUCUCUAUGUAGCUAUUUUAUAACACAGGUCACGUGAGUCCAAAAAACAACAAUAAAAUAUGUAGUUUCCCAGUA